rnacentral:rRNA from 1 species
ACGCCGGCGGUGUGCCUAAUACAUGCAAGUCGAACGCGUUGGCCCAAUUGAUUGAUGGUGCUUGCACCUGAUUGAUUUUGGUCGCCAACGAGUGGCGGACGGGUGAGUAACACGUAGGUAACCUGCCCAGAAGCGGGGGACAACAUUUGGAAACAGAUGCUAAUACCGCAUAACAGCGUUGUUCGCAUGAACAACGCUUAAAAGAUGGCUUCUCGCUAUCACUUCUGGAUGGACCUGCGGUGCAUUAGCUUGUUGGUGGGGUAACGGCCUACCAAGGCGAUGAUGCAUAGCCGAGUUGAGAGACUGAUCGGCCACAAUGGGACUGAGACACGGCCCAUACUCCUACGGGAGGCAGCAGUAGGGAAUCUUCCACAAUGGGCGCAAGCCUGAUGGAGCAACACCGCGUGAGUGAAGAAGGGUUUCGGCUCGUAAAGCUCUGUUGUUAAAGAAGAACACGUAUGAGAGUAACUGUUCAUACGUUGACGGUAUUUAACCAGAAAGUCACGGCUAACUACGUGCCAGCAGCCGCGGUAAUACGUAGGUGGCAAGCGUUAUCCGGAUUUAUUGGGCGUAAAGAGAGUGCAGGCGGUUUUCUAAGUCUGAUGUGAAAGCCUUCGGCUUAACCGGAGAAGUGCAUCGGAAACUGGAUAACUUGAGUGCAGAAGAGGGUAGUGGAACUCCAUGUGUAGCGGUGGAAUGCGUAGAUAUAUGGAAGAACACCAGUGGCGAAGGCGGCUACCUGGUCUGCAACUGACGCUGAGACUCGAAAGCAUGGGUAGCGAACAGGAUUAGAUACCCUGGUAGUCCAUGCCGUAAACGAUGAGUGCUAGGUGUUGGAGGGUUUCCGCCCUUCAGUGCCGGAGCUAACGCAUUAAGCACUCCGCCUGGGGAGUACGACCGCAAGGUUGAAACUCAAAGGAAUUGACGGGGGCCCGCACAAGCGGUGGAGCAUGUGGUUUAAUUCGAAGCUACGCGAAGAACCUUACCAGGUCUUGACAUCUUGCGCCAACCCUAGAGAUAGGGCGUUUCCUUCGGGAACGCAAUGACAGGUGGUGCAUGGUCGUCGUCAGCUCGUGUCGUGAGAUGUUGGGUUAAGUCCCGCAACGAGCGCAACCCUUGUUACUAGUUGCCAGCAUUAAGUUGGGCACUCUAGUGAGACUGCCGGUGACAAACCGGAGGAAGGUGGGGACGACGUCAGAUCAUCAUGCCCCUUAUGACCUGGGCUACACACGUGCUACAAUGGACGGUACAACGAGUCGCGAACUCGCGAGGGCAAGCAAAUCUCUUAAAACCGUUCUCAGUUCGGACUGCAGGCUGCAACUCGCCUGCACGAAGUCGGAAUCGCUAGUAAUCGCGGAUCAGCAUGCCGCGGUGAAUACGUUCCCGGGCCUUGUACACACCGCCCGUCACACCAUGAGAGUUUGUAACACCCAAAGUCGGUGGGGUAACCUUUUAGGAGCCAGCCGCCUAAGGUGGGACAGAUGAUUAGGGUGAAG